rnacentral:rRNA from 1 species
UACGGAGGAUGCAAGCGUUAUCCGGAAUGAUUGGGCGUAAAGCGUCCGCAGGUGGCAAUGUAAGUCUGCUGUUAAAGAGUCUAGCUCAACUAGAUACAUGCAGUGGAAACUACAUAGCUAGAGUACGUUCGGGGCAGAGGGAAUUCCUGGUGUAGCGGUGAAAUGCGUAGAGAUCAGGAAGAACACCGGUGGCGAAAGCGCUCUGCUAGGCCGCAACUGACACUGAGGGACGAAAGCUAGGGGAGCGAAUGGG